GAUGAAGAACGUAGCGAAUUGCGAUAUGUAAUGUGAAUUGCAGAAUUCAGUGAAUCAUCGAAUCUUUGAACGCACAUUGCGCCCCCUGGUAUUCCGGGGGGCAUGCCUGUUCGAGCGUCAUUACAACCCUCAAGCUCUGCUUGGUAUUGGGCCCCGCCAGUUCUGGCGGGCCCUAAAGUCAGUGGCGGUGCCUUCCGGCUCCGAGCGUAGUAAUUCUUCUCGCUCUGGAGACCCGGUUGUGUGCUUGCCAACAACCCCCAAUUUUUUAAGGUUGACCUCGGAUCAGGUAGGGAUACCCGCUGAACUUAAGCAUAUCAAUAAGCGGAGGA
rnacentral:misc_RNA from 1 species